UGGCCGCUCCCCUCCCCUCCCCCACCCCGCGUUACAGUUUUGGCCGACGGUUUGGCUCUGCUCCUCGGGUUGCUGCUUGUGUGAGCAUUGCGGACCGGUGGGAGCGCGUGUGCUUUUGGUGGUCGGGAGUUCGUAGCUUAUGUGCUUAGCGCGAAGGUGAACAUAGAUUUGGAUUUGAGACCUGCUAGGAACGGUAUUUGACUAAUUUUAUUUAGGCUUUUUUUCGUUUUAUAAUUCGGCGGAUCAGUUCGUAGCUAGGCUGUGGAUCCUCGCGAAGCUUAGUGAGAUCUUCCUCUUAUUUUUGCGUUUCGCGCUUCACCGUGUUGGUAUGAUCUGCGCCAACUGCUUCUGAAACCAGCUAUUCAUGAACCACUAGCAGAAUACUUUGUGAACGAGGCAAACGGAAAUGCCAGAUAUGCCACGUGGUGUGAGAGUUGGACGAAUGCUUAAAGUUACCGAACUAGGACAAAAAACGUGCCAGAAGUUUCUGUACUUGUUCGGCAUGUUUUCCUCUGGAAGUAGUGGAUCACAUUACUCAUAGUCAUGAGGUUUUAGCUAUUAAUCCAAGAGCAUUUUAGGGCCAUUCGGAUGGUUUGGUGAGGCACUUAGAGGUCUGUUUUUUUAGGGUCAUUCGUUCAUUCAUUUUGGUUCAGUUAGCUAGGGGCUAUUAGCAAUUAAAUUCAGAGAAAUCCUUGUCAAGCAUGAGGUUCUCCUACAUAUAUACUGCCAUAUGUUCCUACUGAAUAUAUUGACAUGCCAUUACACUAUGAUGCAAUAGAAUGGCUAGCACAAGCUUUCCCUUCUAAGGAUGUCAGCAGUAGGAAGAAUCAUUGUAGCGCUUUGGUAAAGUGGAGGGGUUCAGGUUCCCCAAGUGUUUAUUCUUGUUCACUCACCAGUUUUAUCUUUCAUGUGCUGACAUUCUUCCCUAUCCUGUUUGCAAUCGAUCUUCUGUUCGUCUGCCUCGACAUUGGCGAAUGGCGAUACACAUCCAUUAGUUUAUUUGGGAUCUUACAAGACAGAGGAGGAAGUAGCUCGCACCCAUGAUCUCGUGGCGCUCAAGUGCUGGGGCUCAGGCGACGCUCAAGUGCUGGGGCUCACACUUCGGGCUCCUCAACUUCCCAAUAAGUGCAGGUGGACACGUACAUGCAGGAGCAUGAGAGGAUGCAGCGGGUGACACGGGAGGAGUACCAACAACAACAACUUUGCCGACAGGGGCCUACCGCUCAACAUCCUGGUGUACUUGCCACUAGUCCCAAUCAUGCGCAUCUGAUAGUUUAGGUUCAGUCAAGGAUUGUCAAGACCAUUCAGGUUCAGCGAGAUGGCUCUCUGAACCAUGAGUAGGUAGCACAACGCAUGCCUUGUCGGUUGACAGACAAGACCACUAGUUGUCCUGCGGCUCUACUACUGUACCAUGUGUUCCUACUACUAGCUCUAGUCGUGGAUGCUGGGUAGCUCCAUGUUUUCUCUGUUUUUAUGUAAUCUUUUCUCUGUUUGUUUUUCUUGGCGCAUCAUAGAUGAAGCUCGGAGCUAGAUAGAACCAUACAACUGCGGUUGACAAACAUUGCAAUUUAAUCUAAAAUUGUCAUCAUGAUCCUAGCAAAUACUCAUCAAAUAACUGUAAAUUGUUGCAUGAUUAGUGUCUAGUAAAGGGCAGCCCCAGUGCAUGUAGCUCCCGCUUGCGCAGGGUCUGGGGAAGGGUCCGACCACUUUGGGUCUAUUGUACGCAGCCUUUCUCUACAUUUCUGUAAGAGGCUGUUUCCAGGACUUGAACCUGUAGUGUAGAUUCAAAAUAAGGUUGCACUUCUAGAGGAGAUAAGCCACUGAUGUUGGAUGCUUGGUAAUUGUCUUGUGUUGUGUGCAUGUCGGUACUAGCAGUAUGUUCGUGAGCAACAAGCAUAUGAUUUGUGCAUGU